rnacentral:lncRNA from 1 species
UUUAAGUCCAAUUAAUUUAGAUCUAAUCUGAAAUUAAUUAGUACUUAAAUCCAAUCUUUCAUAUGUUCCAUGAAUCAUAGAUCAGAAACUGUUCAUCUCUGAGAUCGAAUCUGAACCUCAUGUGUAGUGCUAGCUAGAUAUAGUCAACUCUUCAAUCCCGUUUGACCCAUAACUUAAUUCUCAAUCAAGUUAGCUUAUAUGUUUAAUCAAGUCAAGUACUUUCAAAUUGGACAUAUAAACAUAGGUCACUUUUUUCAUACUUUGUCUAACUUGUGUACGUGACUCCAUAAGUUCAAACACUAAGUCGGUAGCACAGAAAUCAAUUCCUGCACUAAUCGAGAUACCAUCUAGCAAUGGUUCCUGACGUCCAAAUAGGUCAAAUUAUCGCAAAGGAAUAUUCCAGAAUCUAUACACAUGGUUAUCGUGUAAUUCAUCCUUUUGACCCUGGAUGCUUUAGGAUGGUCUCAGAUUAAUUGUCAACCGAGAUUGCUUUAUCUAUAUUGUAUUUCAACCUCUCAAAUUCAUCUCAUGGAUUAUCUUGGUCAAGACUUUACUAAAUUGAAAUACAGCGAUACAUCAACUCCAAUAAUCCGAAGGGAUCAAUCCUAUCUUGAUCCGCACACAGACUUCGUAAGUAUUCGACUGUACCCAGUAGCCUUCUGUUACUGCAUUAAAAAUCCAGAUAGUCCGGCAUCAAAGCACAGUGAGUUGCUUGCAAGUCACUAUGGUAAUCUCAGGUCUGAAGGACACUUAUAUCAAUGUGUUUCGCAAGCAGCUCUUGACAGCAGAGCGCUCAGCAAGUGAGUCACUUGUUCAGUGACGAUGUAAUCUUAUAUUUCAUCUGUAUGCCAUACCAGUAUCACUAUACUCUUUGAUUAAGAGGACAACCCAUAUGGCACAUAAUGACCUCCACUCGAUAAACAUCAUUGUCCCGUAAUAAUGUAUCAUUUGGUCGCGAUCAUGUUUAAGAUCUAUACAAUAAGUCUUCUCUUUAUCAUACACUAGCAUAGUUCUAGAGACUUCAUCACAGUACAAG